UCUCUCUCUGCCCAAGGUUUACAGGCUACCUACAAGAUUGGUGGACAGAACAGUUCCAGGCCUGUGAGUGACUACAUGUUCUUUCUGGGUGCUCCUUCUGCUGCCACCUUGGUUUCUGGAUGCUUCUUCCAUUCUCUGUGAUCAUCCAGGGUUUGUCACUCUGGAUACAAGCUCUGCCCAUUCCAACCUGGCCAUCUCUCUGGACAAGAAGAGUCUGACCUGGAAGGACACCUAUGGUGACUCAAAUGGCAGCCUCAGUGUGUUGGGCCUUGAGGGCAUCAUGUCUGGGCGACAUUACUGGGAGGUGGAGGUCAGGCAUGGAGACAAUAGCCAGUGGACUCUGGGGGUCUGUAGGGAAGAUGUGAAAAGAACAGACUGGUACAAAGAGUGUCCAGAAAAGGGGUUCUGGGUUAUGGGGCAGUUUGAGGAAGAAUACUGGGCCUGUACUAAUCCUGACACUCAGCUACACCUUAGGCAGAUUCCCCACAGAGUGGGAGUGUUCCUGGACUACAGCAAAGGGGAUGUUUCCUUCUAUAACAUGACUGAUGGGUCCCAUAUUUUCUCCUUCCCUCCAGCUUCCUUCUCUGGGACGCUCCUUCCAUACUUCAAGUUUAAGUCAGGCGAUGUGUCCCUGACCAUCUGCUCCAUGGUGGGUGGGACCAAGGGGUUCCCUGUGCCCCAUAACAUUUCUUCUUCUUUGGAGAAGGCAGAGAGCUCCCCAGGGGAGAGGUUCAGCUCAGGCUCAGGAGUUGGUGGUGCUCCCCCAGGGGUGGAAUCCCCAUUGCUCCCCUGCAGCCGAGGCUGUGCCCCUCUAGGGCCCCAUCACUAUCCCUGACCCCUCACUGUGGCUCUUCCAGGAGCUGCAAAACCUCUGAAGUGAGUCCUGGAUGGCCCUGGGAGCCUUGUCCUCCUAUUCUGGGUGCAGAGUCCUGGGGCGUGUGGUUAUGAAAAUAGUCAGUUCGUGCCUUGUGUUCAGAUCGCAGAAGAUAAAAGUUGACUGUUGUUGGAAUUGGUCUGUGGUAGGCUGAAUUUAACCAUGAGAAGUCCUUUUUCUUUUGAUAUUAAAAAAUAUUUCAGCUUUGCGCAGUGGCAAUAUCAUAGCCAAUGAGGUUUAUCUGAGGUGUGAUUACUGCUAAUUGAAAACUUUUCCCAGUACCCCUCAAUGACGACUUGCAAUAUAGUCAGCAUUGGCAAUUUAUGAUGGUCCCUAUGGGGACUGAAUUAAAAAAAAAGAGAAAAAAAUAUUUCAUGGGGUUUUUAUAUUGUUUGAGUAUGAAAGGGGCUCAGGGCUGAAUUACUCUGCAGAACAAAGGGGAAUUUACUUUAUCCAACUUGAGUUUGUGCAGUGGGCCCCAGAGGUUGGGGGUGGUGGAGUCUGGACUACCUGCCCGGAAGAGCUGGCCUCUAGAAUACCCAGGGAAAUGCAUAAUUGAUGGAUGUGUAAGAGAAGGGGAAUCUCAGUCUAAGAUUGUACUUUAUUCACUUCUUAUUCUGGGAUGGAUGAAACACACCUAUUUUUUCAGACCUCAGUAAAGUUCUGUUACCUGUGAAAAAGUUGUGCUGUGGUAAUUCAGGGAAUUAAGGAUAAAGGCCUGGAUUCCCCUUUUGUGUCAAUGCUACAACUGUGGAAAGAAGAGACUUGCUCGCAGAGUAAGUGCUCACGCUGCUCUGAGCUACUUUUCUUUUCUCAUUGGAAGACCACAGCAAACGAAAAGAAGUGGACUAUUGAGGACUCAUAUUCUUCAGGAAUGAAGUGGUAAAACCUUGAAGUUAUAACAGCCUGAGGGUGAAGUUUUCCUUACAACGAGGAGACCAAAAAAGCAGAUAUGAAAAAUUAAAAAUGGAUGGAUUCUGAACUGAAACACAAACAAAACAAUGCAAAAUUGUUAUUCACCUGUCAAAAGAAGACUUGUUUUCUCUUA